ACUUGGCUAAGCCCUCGCGGCGGACGAGCCGCGCGGGCCGCCUUGAAUUACAAUUUCCACCGGGCGGCGGACUGAAUCCUUUGCAGACGACUUAAAUACGCGACGGGGUAUUGUAAGUGGCAGAGUGGCCUUGCUGCCACGAUCCACUGAGAUUCAGCCCUUCGUCGCUCCGAUUCGU
rnacentral:ncRNA from 1 species